rnacentral:tRNA from 1 species
AGUUUUAUAUUCAAUACUUAAAUGAUUUUAAAUUGCAAAUUUAAAGUAGUAAAAUUUUACUAAAACUU